rnacentral:rRNA from 1 species
UGAAAAGCCCGCUCGCCGGAAGACCAAGGGUUCCUGUCCAACGUUAAUCGGGGCAGGGUGAGUCGACCCCUAAGGCGAGGCCGAAAGGCGUAGUCGAUGGGAAACAGGUUAAUAUUCCUGUACUUGGUGUUACUGCGAAGGGGGGACGGAGAAGGCUAUGUUGGCCGGGCGACGGUUGUCCCGGUUUAAGCGUGUAGGCUGGUUUUCCAGGCAAAUCCGGAAAAUCAAGGCCGAGGCGUGAUGACGAGGCACUACGGUGCUGAAGCAACAAAUGCCCUGCUUCCAGGAAAAGCCUCUAAGCAUCAGGUAACAUCAAAUCGUACCCCAAACCGACACAGGUGGUCAGGUAGAGAAUACCAAGGCGCUUGAGAGAACUCGGGUGAAGGAACUAGGCAAAAUGGUGCCGUAACUUCGGGAGAAGGCACGCUGAUACGUAGGUGAAGCGACUUGCUCGUGGAGCUGAAAUCAGUCGAAGAUACCAGCUGGCUGCAACUGUUUAUUAAAAACACAGCACUGUGCAAACACGAAAGUGGACGUAUACGGUGUGACGCCUGCCCGGUGCCGGAAGGUUAAUUGAUGGGGUUAGCGCAAGCGAAGCUCUUGAUCGAAGCCCCGGUAAACGGCGGCCGUAACUAUAACGGUCCUAAGGUAGCGAAAUUCCUUGUCGGGUAAGUUCCGACCUGCACGAAUGGCGUAAUGAUGGCCAGGCUGUCUCCACCCGAGACUCAGUGAAAUUGAACUCGCUGUGAAGAUGCAGUGUACCCGCGGCAAGACGGAAAGACCCCGUGAACCUUUACUAUAGCUUGACACUGAACAUUGAGCCUUGAUGUGUAGGAUAGGUGGGAGGCUUUGAAGUGUGGACGCCAGUCUGCAUGGAGCCGACCUUGAAAUACCACCCUUUAAUGUUUGAUGUUCUAACGUGGACCCGUGAUCCGGGUUGCGGACAGUGUCUGGUGGGUAGUUUGACUGGGGCGGUCUCCUCCUAAAGAGUAACGGAGGAGCACGAAGGUUGGCUAAUCCUGGUCGGACAUCAGGAGGUUAGUGCAAUGGCAUAAGCCAGCUUGACUGCGAGCGUGACGGCGCGAGCAGGUGCGAAAGCAGGUCAUAGUGAUCCGGUGGUUCUGAAUGGAAGGGCCAUCGCUCAACGGAUAAAAGGUACUCCGGGGAUAACAGGCUGAUACCGCCCAAGAGUUCAUAUCGACGGCGGUGUUUGGCACCUCGAUGUCGGCUCAUCACAUCCUGGGGCUGAAGUAGGUCCCAAGGGUAUGGCUGUUCGCCAUUUAAAGUGGUACGCGAGCUGGGUUUAGAACGUCGUGAGACAGUUCGGUCCCUAUCUGCCGUGGGCGCUGGAGAACUGAGGGGGGCUGCUCCUAGUACGAGAGGACCGGAGUGGACGCAUCACUGGUGUUCGGGUUGUCAUGCCAAUGGCACUGCCCGGUAGCUAAAUGCGGAAGAGAUAAGUGCUGAAAGCAUCUAAGCACGAAACUUGCCCCGAGAUGAGUUCUCCCUGACCCUUUAAGGGUCCUGAAGGAACGUUGAAGACGACGACGUUGAUAGGCCGGGUGUGUAAGCGCAGCGAUGCGUUGAGCUAACCGGUACUAAUGAACCGUGAGGCUUAACCUUACAACGCCGAAG